rnacentral:rRNA from 1 species
CACAUGCAAGUCGAGCGGUAAGGCCCUUCGGGGUACACGAGCGGCGAACGGGUGAGUAACACGUGGGUAACCUGCCCUGUACUCUGGGAUAAGCCUUGGAAACGAGGUCUAAUACCGGAUACGACCUUCUACCGCAUGGUGGAGGGUGGAAAGUUCCGGCGGUAUGGGAUGGACCCGCGGCCUAUCAGCUUGUUGGUGGGGUAAUGGCCUACCAAGGCGACGACGGGUAGCCGGCCUGAGAGGGUGACCGGCCACACUGGGACUGAGACACGGCCCAGACUCCUACGGGAGGCAGCAGUGGGGAAUAUUGCACAAUGGGCGAAAGCCUGAUGCAGCGACGCCGCGUGAGGGAUGACGGCCUUCGGGUUGUAAACCUCUUUCAGCAGGGACGAAGCGCAAGUGACGGUACCUGCAGAAGAAGCACCGGCUAACUACGUGCCAGC